CGUCCCGUCCUCCCCCCUCCCGUGCCCCACGUCCCCGAGGAGAGACGCCGAAGGAGCGGGACCGACUCACUCAUGGGAGCGCGGCGGGCGAGGCCGGCGACACCUCCGGCUUCCGAGGCGCCGGCGAAGUUAAUUGCACUGAAGUUCAAGUUGUCUUUUCACCCAUCAGGAGUGGGCGUUUAAAGGAAGGAGAGCGAGGAGGAGGAGGGGGAGGGGGGAGAGUCUCUCUCGCUCGCUGGCUCUCUCACACACACACACACCACACACACACACACAGGCACACGCAUGCACGCACGCACACACACACACACGCACACGCACCCGCCCGCUCGGCUCCGCUCCCGAGCUGCCUCAGCAAGGAGGAGCCCGGACGGAAAACACCAGGGCAGCAAGGAUUUGGAGGUAGAGUUCCUGGAGAAUGACCCUGGCAAUGAGCAGAGGUUUCCCUGAAAGCUGAAGCUGUUUCUUAUUCCCUAGGACACUGACAAGAGAGGGGACCCCGGAUGUCAGCCCAAUCUCCGUUUUUUAUUUGUCUCAACUUUGAGGCAGAUUUUCUCUUUCAGCUCUGGGAACUGACAGGUACAAUUCCCAUAGUCACUUUUGCAUGAAACGAGACCAAGGCCAAGAAGUUGAUAUGCCAUUGCUUUUCCUGGUUAGCUAGCAGUACGUCCUUCUAUUAAUUGCUAUUAGUAAGUUAACCUUGUAGCUCAGUUAUUGAAUAAUCAUUAAUCCAUGGAGGAUACACAAGCCCAAAGGUUAAUAAUUGGAAUAGCAAUUAAUAAUACUGACCUUGCCAGUGGGGAGAGUAUUUUUGUCACAGUUAUUAAAAGGCGCUACUAUUUAUACUAGGUACAGUGGUGCAAAUUUGGACUCAAUAUGUUGAGCACCAAAUUACUGCAACAACACCAGAAAUUAAUUCACCCCUUUAUCUCCAUGUUAUCAGUCCUCUGACUUUUUCUCCAUUUAAAAUGUAUCAUCCCCUACUCUCUCAUUUUAAAUAGAAAUGCUAGGUCUUUAAUCAAUUCUGACAUUUCCACUAGAAAAUAACAUUGAGCUCAGUUACACAGAUAAAAAUUUAUUUGCCUGCAGCUGAUUUGUUGUAGUGCUUUGGACCUAUUCAUUUCUCAAAGAGGACUUAGGUUUUUAUGGUCUUUGGAUACCAUGGGGUAAUAAAUAGGAAAUCAGUACAAAGGGGACA
rnacentral:lncRNA from 1 species